rnacentral:rRNA from 1 species
GGUAUCCUGACCGUGCUAAGGUAGCAUAAUCAUUUGCCUCUUAAUUGGUGGCUAGUAUGAAUGGACACACGCAAGCAUCGCUGUCUCACUAAUAUAAAUAAAAACUAACCUUUAGGUGAAGAGGCCUAAAUAAAAUAAAAAGACAAAAAGACCCUAUGGAGCUUUAUUUUUCCUCCUUUAACGUACAAUAUACUAAAAUACCUUCCAGGACUAACAAAUUUAGUUGGGGCGACUUAGGAAAACAAUAAAUCUUCCUAGUUUAACAAGAAAAUAAUUCAUCCAACGAUCCGCCAUGCGAAUACAGAUCCAGCUACCCUAGGGAUAACAGGCUAAUUCUUCUCGAGAGCCCGAAUUGACAGAAGAGAUUGGCACCUC